CAUUGUCAGGUGGGGAGUUUG
rnacentral:siRNA from 1 species